rnacentral:lncRNA from 1 species
UAAAGCACAAAGAUAUGCUAAUAACGUUAACAAAAGAAAAAAAUGUCUUUAUAAGUACAUACCUUUUGUCGUCAAAAAAAAUAUAGAAACACAAUGUAUUCAAAAAAAAUCAAAAUUAUACAGCCAUGUUUAUGAAGUCUACAUUUCCCUUGUCUUGGAUAUAUAUAUAUAUGGAGAUAUAUAUACAAUUCAAGCAGUUUUAAUUAAGGGUAAUCAUUGGGUUUUUCUGAAACCGGAAAAGUCACGAGUCUCUCUCUUUUUUCACUUUCACAUCUCCAGCAAGGAUGGUUGCAAUUUCCCCUUGCAUAAAGGCCCAGGGGACAUUGGAGCCCACAAGAGGGCAUUUUUCCCCACUGGGACAAUAGACCUCUCCACUAGCUCCCUGCUGUUUGAUGCUUUGUCUGGAGCAAGGGAAGCAGAACUUGUGCGAAGGGACGGACGGGCACUGCACAAAAUGGGUGUCCUCCAGCCGCUCGUGGCAGAGGGUGCAGCACAGCGGGGCACUGGUUGCCAGAGAGGAGUCCGGGAGGCUGGCAGGGUGCACUGGCUCCAGUCCUCCUGUGUUGCCU